CCGGGUAAAAUAAUUUAAUUGCACUUAAAUAAAACAAAGCAUGUGAUAAACCAUUAAUUUAAUGCACUUAAAACAGUGUUCUUGCUUGUGUAAAUAAAUGAUGAGCAGUAAUGUGUUUUAAUAAAAAAAAGUGUUGUGGCCCCUUUAAGAGUGCACGAGUAUACGAUGAGCACGUGAGCUUGAGCGCAGAGCGCAAGAGACUAGGAAGUAAACAGAGCUCCAUGCGGUGAGAAAGCGUUGAUAAAGUUUAUAAACUGAGGACAAAACAUAAAAUAUCAACUUGUGAGUGUGUAAUGAUUGCAUCUUUUAAAGAUUGGUCAGUGGAUGGCUUCGUGUUGUUGGUUUGUGCUGUGUUUUGAUCUCCUCGAGCGAGCGGUUUUCGUCACGUUGUUUGUGCUGGUUGGAGAUUUCUCAUAUUGAGCAGGGGAGAGGUUAAAUGUGAGUUCACACGCAAAGCUGUAUGUCACGUGAGCUAAAGGAGACUGUUGCAAAAGCACAAUUGGGCCACUACCGUUGUUUGCUUAGGUGAAAAAUAGUGUUUUCUUGUGUAACUAAGGGGCUUGUGUGCAUUACAGAGUAUUACAGCCAAAGAAACAAUUUCAUUUUUUUAUUUUCUUUUAUUUCUAUGUUAUGCCAAUUGAAGUAACUUGUGUUAUUUCCGUGUUAUGGUUUAUUUUUGUCCACUUUAAAAAUUGUCAAAACCAAUACUAAAAGAAAGCAAGAAAAUAUUUAAUGCUGCACUCCUUUUGAGUGUGGUCAGGAAUAAAAGAACCCCAGUUUAAUGUUAAGCCACUGUUUUGGUUUCCUUUAUUUUAAACAAAGGUACUCUUAACCCGGCUACAUAU